rnacentral:rRNA from 1 species
GAUGAACGCUGGCGGCGUGCUUAACACAUGCAAGUCGAACGAUGAAGCCCAGCUUGCUGGGUGGAUUAGUGGCGAACGGGUGAGUAACACGUGAGUAACCUGCCCUUAACUCUGUGAUAAGCCUGGGAAACUGGGUCUAAUACCGGAUAGGACCGUCCACCGCAGGGUGGAUGUUGGAAAGCUUUAUCGGUUUUGGAUGGACUCGCGGCGAAUCCGCUUGUUGGUGAGGUAGUGGCACACCAAGGCGAAGACGGGUAGCCGGCCUUAGAGGGUGACCGCGCACACUGGGACUGAGACACGGACCAGUCUCCAACGGGAGGCAGCAGUGGGGAAUAUUGCACAGUGGGCGCAAGCCUGAUGCAGCGACGCCGCGUGUGUGAAGACGGCCUUCGGGGUGUAAACCUCUUUCAGUAGGGAAGAAGCGAAAGUGACGGUACCUGCAGAAGAAGCACCGGCUAACUACGUG